GAUGAACGCUGGCGGCGUGCCUAAUACAUGCAAGUCGAGCGAACAGACGAGGAGCUUGCUCCUCUGACGUUAGCGGCGGACGGGUGAGUAACACGUGGAUAACCUACCUAUAAGACUGGGAUAACUUCGGGAAACCGGAGCUAAUACCGGAUAAUAUAUUGAACCGCAUGGUUCAAUAGUGAAAGACGGUUUUGCUGUCACUUAUAGAUGGAUCCGCGCCGCAUUAGCUAGUUGGUAAGGUAACGGCUUACCAAGGCAACGAUGCGUAGCCGACCUGAGAGGGUGAUCGGCCACACUGGAACUGAGACAAGGUCCAGAACCCUAAGGGAGGCAGCAGUAGGGAAUCUUCCGGAAUGGGCGAAAGCCUGACGGGGCAAAGCCGCGUGAGGGAUGAAGGUCUUCGGAUCGUAAAACUCUGUUAUUAGGGAAAAAUAAAUGUGUAAGUAACUAUGCAAGUCUUGACGGUACCUAAUCAGAAAGGCACGGCUAACUACGUG
rnacentral:rRNA from 1 species